AUUGAACGCUGGCGGCAGGCUUAACACAUGCAAGUCGAGCGGAGAUGAUGUGCUUGCACUUUAUUUUAGCGGCGGACGGGUGAGUAAUGCUUAGGAAUCUGCCUAUUAGUGGGGGACAACAUUCCGAAAGGAAUGCUAAUACCGCAUACGCCCUACGGGGGAACGCAGGGGAUCUUCGGACCUUGCGCUAAUAGAUGAGCCUAAGUCGGAUCAGCUAGUUGGUGGGGUAAAGGCCUACCAAGGCGACGAUCUGGAGCGGGUCGGUGAGGAUGAUCCGCACCAGUGGGGAUGAGACACGGCCCAGACUCCAACGGGAGGCAGCGGUGGGGAUGAUUGGACAAUGGACGAUAGGCUGAUCCAGCCAUGCAGCGUGUCUGAAGAGGGACUUCGGGUUGUAAAGGACUGUUGUCCGGGAGCAAGUACCCAGUGCUAAUAACGCUGGGGGCUGAGAGUACCGGAAGCAUAAGCACCGGCUAACUACGUGCCAGCCGCCGCCGUAAUAC
rnacentral:rRNA from 1 species